rnacentral:tmRNA from 1 species
GGGGGCGAAUUGGAUUCGACCGGGUAGACAGAAGUGGAAGUGGCGUGUCGUGGUUGGUCAGUUGGCCACGUAAAAAGCUGACUAAAAAUUUAGUUGCAGAUGCAAAUCUAGCAAUGGCAGCCUAAAUAAGGUUGUCCUGACUGAGGGGGUCCGCCGGAGACGCCCGACUGUCAGUUGCAAUUCCGGAUCGUUUGUCCCCGUGCUAGGCACGUGAUGAACUAAAAAAAGCUCCA